rnacentral:tRNA from 1 species
GCCUCGGUAGCUCAGUGGAUAGAGCAUCUUCCUCCUAAGAAGAGGGUCGUAGGUUCGAUUCCUACCCGGGGCG